UUGGUUCCUAGUGAUCACAACGACCAAUUUUCAUCGAAAACACGAUAUGUUAAUAGGUUUUCAGCAGAUUCAUCUCCUGCUUUACUACCUGCUCCUCAUCAGGUUGUGGUUUUGAGGGUGUCCCUCCACUGCAAGGGAUGUGAAGCUAAAGUCAGGAAACAUGUCUCCAGAAUGGAAGGGGUGACAUCUUUUAAUAUCGAUUUUGCGAAUAAAAAA